GACGAACGCUGGCGGCGUGCCUAAUACAUGCAAGUCGAACGAGAGCGACCGGUGCUUGCACUGGUCAAUCUAGUGGCGAACGGGUGAGUAACACGUGGGUAACCUGCCCAUCAGAGGGGGAUAACAUUCGGAAACGGAUGCUAAAACCGCAUAGGUCUUCGAACCGCAUGGUUUGAAGAGGAAAAGGGGCGCAAGCUUCUGCUGAUGGAUGGACCCGCGGUGCAUUAGCUAGUUGGUGAGGUAACGGCUCACCAAGGCCGUGAUGCAUAGCCGACCUGAGAGGGUGAUCGGCCACAUUGGGACUGAGACACGGCCCAAACUCCUACGGGAGGCAGCAGUAGGGAAUCUUCCGCAAUGGACGCAAGUCUGACGGAGCAACGCCGCGUGAGUGAAGAAGGUUUUCGGAUCGUAAAACUCUGUUGUUAGAGAAGAAUAAGUGCUAGAGUAACUGUUAGCGCCUUGACGGUAUCUAACCAGAAAGCCACGGCUAACUACGUG
rnacentral:rRNA from 1 species